ACUGUGUGCUAUACGUCAAAAUGGUUGGGGGCAGCAAAUACAAAAAAAAAGAAAUGUGAAAUUAAGAGAUGUGUGUUGGCGGCGGAGAAUGGCAAAUGGCGAACAGCGAGCAGCAAGCAGCGAGCAACGAGUGGCGAGUGGGAAAGUGGAGAGCGGAGAGUGGAGAGUAUGCGAAUGGUGGUUGAGUGGUUGCAGGUGAAAAUAAAUUGUCCUUGCUGCUGUCCCGACUACAUAAUUAAAUUUCAAAUUGAUUCCGGCCUUUUGCUGUCACCUGAAAGCCAUCAAUUUCCCAAGCCCGGCGAGUACAGACAUUUUCGAUGACGUGCUGAAACUCAAAAUGAAGGAAUUCUGUUUUGCUCUAUUGAUUCUCCUGAAACCUAUUUAUCGCGCAGGUAGUCGAUGAUACAUUGUAGCUGUUUUCAUUAAAUUGCCAUUGAGUUUGGAAAAGUUUCACGAGCUAAACUUGAAUUAACCGAAUUUUAGUUAGCAUCGAAUCCAUGUUGGAUACAAGAUUGUUUAUUUGAAACUAAAUAAAUAUGUAUAUAUGUAUUUAAAACUACAAAUAUAGGUAAAAACUAAGACAUAUGUAUAUUUUAGACUGCA